GACGAACGCUGGCGGCGCGCUUAAUACAUGCAAGUCGAGCGAGAACCAGAGCUUCGGCUCUGGGGACAGCGGCGAACGGGUGAGUAACACGUGAGUAAUCUGCCCUCGGCACCGGGAUAGCCCGGGGAAACCCGGAUUAAUACCGGAUGGCCUCUCGAGCCCUCGGGCUCGUGAGAAAAGGUAGCUUCGGCCUCUGGCCGAGGAGGAGCUCGCGGCGGAUUAGCUUGUUGGUGGGGUAACGGCUCACCAAGGCGACGAUCCGUAGCUGGUCUGAGAGGACGAUCAGCCACACUGGGACUGAGACACGGCCCAGACUCCUACGGGAGGCAG
rnacentral:rRNA from 1 species